UACAGAGGUGGCAAGCGUUGUUCGGAAUUACUGGGCGUAAAGGGCGCGUAGGCGGUCUUGCAAGUCCUGUGUGAAAUCCCUCGGCUUAACCGGGGAACUGCGUCUGAUACUGGAUGGCUUGAAUCCGGGAGAGGGAUGCGGAAUUCCAGGUGUAGCGGUGAAAUGCGUAGAUAUCUGGAGGAACACCGGUGGCGAAGGCGGCAUCCUGGACCGGCAUUGACGCUGAGGAGCGAAAGCCAGGGGAGCAAACGGG
rnacentral:rRNA from 1 species